rnacentral:rRNA from 1 species
GGCCCUACGGGGCGCAGCAGGCGCGAAAACUUUACAAUGCGGGAAACCGUGAUAAGGGAACACUGAGUGCUAGCAUUUAUGUUAGCUGUCCACAUGUGUAAAUAGCAUGUGAUAGCAAGGGCUGGGCAAGACCGGUGCCAGCCGCCGCGGUAACACCGGCAGGCCGAGUGGUGAUCACUAUUAUUGGGUCUACAGGGUCCGUAGCCGGUUUAAUCAGUCUUCUGGGAAAUCUAAUCGCUUAACUAUUAGGCUUCCAUGGGAUACUGUUAGACUUGGGACCGGGAGAGGUAAGAGGUACUGCAUGGGUAGGAGUGAAAUCUUG